CCUACGGGUGGCAGCAGUGAGGAAUAUUGGUCAAUGGACGGAAGUCUGAACCAGCCAUGCCGCGUGCGGGAGGACGGCUCUGUGAGUUGUAAACUGCUUUUGUACAAGGGUAAACCUGAAUACGUGUAUUCAGCUGAAAGUACUCUACGAAUAAGGAUCGGCUAACUCCGUGCCAGCAGCCGCGGUAAUACGGAGGAUCCAAGCGUUAUCCGGAUUUAUUGGGUUUAAAGGGUGCGUAGGCGGAUUCAUAAGUUCGAGGUGAAAUGGCCGAGCUUAACACCGGAACUGCCUCUAAUACUGUUGACCUAGAGAGCAGCUGCGGUAGGCGGAAUGUAUGGUGUAGCGGUGAAAUGCUUAGAGAUCACACAGAACCCCGAUUGCGAAGGCAGCUUACCAAUCUAUAUCUGACGUUGAGGCACGAAAGCGUGGGGAGCAAACAGGAUUAGAUACCCUUGUAGUC
rnacentral:rRNA from 1 species